UUUACCAGGCAAAAUAUCCCCGUAAAUAUAUUCUGAACAACUUAAACUAGACUUAUUGUAUAAUUAUUAUUGUUUGAAAAAUGUCCCCAUCGUGCUCAUGGAAUCAACCUUCUCUGAGGAGGAAGGUAGAGAGAAUAAUUGUCUCAAACUCUUCACAUUGUAAACCAGUGAAUUCAUAUCAAAAGACAAUGAUUAUUAACACAAAGGCUAUUUGUAUUGCUGACAGGCACACCCAACGUAUAAGAAGAGGUCUCAGAGGUUUAGUUUAUGGGACGUUUCUGAAAAACUGUAGGUUUCCAUUUGAUUGGAAGGCUGAACAGGUGGUUUGGGAGAUGCGCAGUGUUGCCCAACGUCACACUCGGUGGUGGUAUAAAAUCCUCUGGGUUUGUCCUCCAGUCAUUUAUCUUGAGAAAAGACAAAGGCAGCAAAGCUACAUUACGCGCAAUUGUUGCUGUGAAGGAAUCAAUAACAAGAUGACUAAAAUUGUGAUGGCUUACAUUGGGUUCCUUCUCCUUGCCAUGCGUUUUUCGUCACAGGUCCACGCACAAAACACUACCACACAGUCCCCUGCCAUGAAUGCUACGACCAAAGCUGGCGGUGCGAGUUCCAACAUGACCAAGAUGCCCGAUGUCACAAGGAACAACUUUCCCAAAGGAGCCAGUGCAUCCUUGCAGUCCAGCUCCUUCACGCUCAUCAUACCCAUCAUGGUGGGGGGCUCACUACAGGGGCGCUUGUAGAGGGCUGUUGAGCAGUGAACAGACACCGGCAAGACUAACAUUGGCCUAGAUGGGGCAAACUGUUCUAAAAAGAGCCCAGUGGAAGAAAAAAAAAUCAUAAGAGAUUUGAUGCGAACCCAUUUCUAUUUCACUGAUGGGAAUUGUUAUUUGCCCUCACACCUUCUGGCCGCUUCAAACCAGUAGGCCUUCACACCUCGCACACUGGCCCCAUGCCCAUAGGCCCGAACUGUACGGUCCUCUCCAUGGAGGCAGUCCAUGAUGAGUAUGUACUGUACGGAACUCUGCUCUUUGAACCGUUUGGUCCCGCUGUUCCUGUGUAGACACCAGGCGGUAGUUUAGUAAUUUGUUAAGAAGUUAACAUAUCUAAAGAAAUGUUGGUUGAGGCACUUUGAAAAUAAGGUAUAGAAUCUGUGGCACAUGCACGAACAGUGGCAUUUCUACACCUGCAGUGAGUACUUUGUCAGAGGCUUGAUGUACACUUGUGAUUUUAUUUCUAGAAUAUGUAGUUGUAUGAAUCAUGAUAUCUGUUUUUAAGGCCAGGUUCAAUAAACUGUUGAAAUGUAGGAUACUUGUGACAAUGUUCUUGUAUAAUAAAAAAUACUUUAACAUAA